CUUUAAAUUAAUCUUCUUAAUUUCUGCCAGCUGUAAAUCCAGUUUUGCUAAAUAGCAUUAUUCUGACUUAAAUGGUCUAAUCUUUGUCGUAAACUGGGUACAGCUGAAAGUCGUGUAUGUGGGAGGCUUCCUCAUUAAUCACAGCUGACAAGAAGUCAGAAAUUAAGAAACAAAAUUGUCUCUGAAGGCAAAAUGGGGAAGGAUUGGGAAAAGCAGCCAACUUGGGGUGAUGGCUGAGUUGGGAGGGCAGGGGUGAGUCCCCGAUCCAAUUGCAUGGCCCUGGUUAAGUCUUUGUUCUCUUGGGGCUUCAGUUUCUACCUCUGGGGGAAAAAAUGCAGGUGGGGAUGAGACAGGGGCGUCAGAUCAGCUCAGUCCUCCUGGACCUUUUCAGCUGCGACGUUCUCUGAAUCUAUACAUGGGAAAUGUCACCAAAGUGACAUCUCGGUAUUUAAAUGCACAGCUGUUGUUGACUCUCAAGACUAUCUAGAGGACCAACAGUCUCACUACUUCACCACAGCAUUCUUCAAAAUGAGUCUCUGGAGAAGUAUUUAGACUCUCAGCAGUGAACCAGGCACUCUUCAGGCCCUGGGAAGACAGAAUUCACCAGCAUGAGAAAGUUUUUAUAACUUGUAAAUUCGUCUAGUCAAGGCUAUGGUUUUUCCUGUGGUCAUGUAUGGAUGUGAGAGUUGGACUGUGAAGAAGGCUGAGCACUGAAGAAUUGAUGCUUUUGAACUGUGGUGUUGGAGAAGACUCUUGAGAGU